rnacentral:rRNA from 1 species
GACGAAGGGGGCUAGCGUUGUUCGGAAUUACUGGGCGUAAAGCGCGUGCAGGCGGUUAUCCAAGUUGGAUGUGAAAGCCAUGAGCUCAACUCAAGAAAUGCAUUCAGGACUGGGUGACUAGAGGACCGGAGAGGAUAGUGGAAUUCCCAGUGUAGUGGUGAAAUACGUAGAGAUUGGGAAGAACACCAGUGGCGAAGGCGGCUAUCUGGACGGUUUCUGACGCUGAGACGCGAAAGCGUGGGGAGCAAACAGG